GGCAGUGGUAGCUCAGUGCUUACGAUAUUGGACUGCUGAUCAGAAGGUCGUGAGUUUAAAUCCCAGCGCUGCCC